GCCGGGCGCGGCGGCGCGCGCCUGUAGUCCCAGCUACUCUGGAGGCUGAGGCUGGAGGAUCGCUUGAACUCAGGAGUUCUGGGCUGCAGUGCACUAUGCCAAUUGGGUGUCUGCACUAAGUUUGGCAUCAAUAUGGUGACCUCCCAGGAGUGGGGUACCACCAGGUUGCCUAAGGAGGUAUGAAUCGGCCCAGGUUGGAAACGGAGCAGGUCAAAACUCCUGUGCUGAUCA
rnacentral:sRNA from 1 species